UACAAACACAGAUCCGGGAAGCCGGAAACGAGGGAGAUGAGCUGCGGUGGGUUUUGCCGCCGGUUCCGCAUGUGAGAUAGCCUCGCAAUUUCAGUCCUGAUUAGGGCUCCAAUCGAAGGUAGGCGUCUGACUAGGGCUCCAAUUUCUAUUCACAACGACCAGAUUAUAGCGGCUUUGUGGAAACAAUAAUUCCCGUUCUCACCAGGUUAGGCAGAAGGCUAAGGAUAGUGGCAACUGAAGACGAAAGGUAAAUAAACUACAUAAUUGAACUCUUUAUGAGUUAUGGCUCCGCUAAACGUUAUAUUUACC